UAAAAUCUGUCCCUAAAGCCAAGUCAGUGGCC
rnacentral:piRNA from 1 species